rnacentral:misc_RNA from 1 species
ACAUUAGUUAGUUCCUGUAAUUUGCCAUUAAUUAUUUAGUCAUAUAAUUAUUUUUUAUACCUAAACUACCCUAAUCCUCUCCCUCUUAUUUCUCUCAUUCCAUGUUUAUUCUCCUCUAUGCCCGCUCUCUUCUCCUUUUCAUUCUCUCUUUGUUUCAUUUAUUGAUAAAACGGUACAAGCUGUCUAUACAAAAAAGUUAAUCAGUUUCUUUAAAUUUAUAAGUAAUAAAUGAAAAUUUUUUCUCAACAGAGAAAACACAAAAAUGAUGCCCAAGGAAUUGGAAAUUUAAGAAAAAAAAUGUGAAUUCAGAUUUAGUCUCUAUAUAAUAAAAUUUUUAUUUUUAUCGAAUAAUUUAUUUUUUAAAAUAUUAUAGUUUUUAAAAUACAUGGACCAACUAAUUGGUUUUACUAAAAUAGAAAGAUUAAAUAGUAGUAUUUUUCAAAAUAUAGAGAUCAACUAAUUAAUUUCUUUAAAAUAGAGGGACUAAAUAGUAGUUUGAAUAGUGUGAAUAACGGAAAGUUUGACGGACUCUAAAUAGUUUGACGGAAGCAAAAUACAAAGACUAAAUAGUUUAUUUUUCAAAAUAUUGGGACAAAGUAGUUAGUUUCGUUAAAGUACAGGAACUAAAUAAAAAUUUUCCCAUUCUACAUUUCAAAUCCAAUAUUUGAAAUCCAAAUUUUAAAUCCAAAUACAUAAAUCCGGCAACAUAAAGUUAUUUUAAUAAAAAAAUCAUUAGUAUAAGUCCGAUAAUUAAAUAGUUAAAUAAAUUAAAUAAAUAAUUAAAUGUAUAUAAAAGAAAAAUAAAAUAAUUAUAUAAGUCAUACUUAAAUUUAAUGAUUGAAAAAUAAAAUAAAUUGAAAUUAAAAAGAUUUUAAAAAAUUAAAGAAAAAAGUACAUAAAGCAAAAGAGUGUUUGGAUGCAUAAUGGAGUUAUGGAGCCUUAUGGAGGGGAUGAAGCAUCGGAUGGACUGGUAUUCUUGUGACAAAAGAAUAAAAAUCUCAAAAGAACAAAUAAAAAAAGUAGAAAAAAAGGAAAAAAAGUAUUGUUUCUGUGAGCAAUGAAUGCGGAUAUCAUUUUAGUAUAUUGUAUAAAACAGUAAAUAAUCUUUAAAAAAAAUAAAGUAAAAAAAAAAAAGCAUUGUUCAUAGGAUAGUGCCAAUCCUAAAAUUGAAGCAUUUGGAGUUUGAAUUCUAUACAAAGUUUCUAAGUACUUUUUACUCAAUUAAGAAAAUAGGAAAAAACUAAUAUAUCACUUAUCAAUUGAUAAAUCUUAUUAUUGCUUAAUCUAUUAAACUGGAUCCGCUGAUGGAUGGAUUGGUGGUACUAUUUUGUAAAAAGUGUAAACAAUUUAAAAAAGGUAAGCAAUUUGAAAAAGGAUAAACUAUAAUUUAGUCCCUAAGAUUUGGUUAAACCUAUAAUUUAAUUCCUGCAGUUUUAAAACUAAGCAAUUUAGUUCUUAACAUUUUAACAAUCGUACUAAUUAGCCAUUGUUAUUAGAAUCCUAGUUAAGUUGCCAUUAAUUUUAGUAAAAAUAAUCAAAAUGCCAUUAACUCUAUUUUCAAUAUGAAAGCAAUUUAGUCAUUGAGGUUUUAUUUUAUUAACAAUUUAAUCCCUGAGGCUUAGUUAAAUCUACAACUUAGUGGUUGUAGUUUUAAAACCAAACAAAUUUAGUCUUUGACAUUUUAAUAAACAUAUAAGUUAGUCUUCGCUGUUAGAAUUACCGUUAAUUCCUUGUUAAAUUUAGUAAAAAAGACUAAAGCACUCAUAAUACUAUUUUCAAUCUCAAAACAAUUUAGUCCA